rnacentral:rRNA from 1 species
CCGGCGACGGGUGAGUAACGCGUAUGCAACCUACCUAUCAGAGGGGAAUAACCCGGCGAAAGUCGGACUAAUACCGCAUAAAACAGGGGUUCCACAUGGAAAUAUUUGUUAAAGAUUUAUCGCUGAUAGAUGGGCAUGCGUUCCAUUAGAUAGUUGGUGAGGUAACGGCUCACCAAGUCUACGAUGGAUAGGGGUUCUGAGAAGAAGGUCCCCCACACUGGUACUGAGACACGGACCAG